UGACAUGUUUUAUUAUAACUGUUGCUAGUUACUCCAACAAGUGAAGCUUGCUGUCAAGUUUCAUUAGUAAGUACUCACAUGUUGGAAUCUCUAGCUAACAGGUUUAACCUAUUGAGAAAC
rnacentral:precursor_RNA from 17 species